AUUGAACGCUGGCGGCAGGCCUAACACAUGCAAGUCGAGCGGGGUUUUCGGACCUAGCGGCGGACGGGUGAGUAAUGCGUAGGAAGCUGCCCGAUAGAGGGGGAUACCAGUUGGAAACGACUGUUAAUACCGCAUAAUGUCUACGGACCAAAGUGUGGGACCUUCGGGCCACAUGCUAUCGGAUGCGCCUACGUGGGAUUAGCUAGUUGGUGAGGUAAUGGCUCACCAAGGCGACGAUCUCUAGCUGGUUUGAGAGGAUGAUCAGCCACACUGGAACUGAGACACGGGCCAGACUCCUACGGGAGGCAGCAGUGGGGAAUAUUGGACAAUGGGCGCAAGCCUGAUCCAGCCAUGCCGCGUGUGUGAAGAGGGCCUUCGGGUUGUAAAGCACUUUCAGCGAGGAGGAAGGGUGGUGUGUUAAUAGCACAUCAUUUUGACGUUACUCGCAGAAGAAGCACCGGCUAACUCUGUGCCAGCCGCCGCGGUAA
rnacentral:rRNA from 1 species